GUUUUAAUAGUUUAACAAAAACAUUGGUCUUGUAAAUCAAAGAUAAAAUAUAUUAUUUUUUAAAACA
rnacentral:tRNA from 1 species